rnacentral:rRNA from 1 species
UGGAUGAACGCUAGCUACAGGCUUAACACAUGCAAGUCGAGGGGCAGCAUGGUCUUAGCUUGCUAAGGCCGAUGGCGACCGGCGCACGGGUGAGUAACGCGUAUCCAACCUGCCUUACACUCUUGGACAGCCUUCUGAAAGGGAGAUUAAUACAAGAUGUUAUCAUGAGUAAGCAUUUUCGCAUGAUUAAAGGUUUACCGGUGUAAGAUGGGGAUGCGUUCCAUUAGAUAGUAGGCGGGGUAACGGCCCACCUAGUCUUCGAUGGAUAGGGGUUCUGAGAGGAAGGUCCCCCACAUUGGAACUGAGACACGGUCCAAACUCCUACGGGAGGCAGCAGUGAGGAAUAUUGGUCAAUGGACGAGAGUCUGAACCAGCCAAGUAGCGUGAAGGAUGAAGGUUCUAUGGAUUGUAAACUUCUUUUAUACGGGAAUAAACGAAUCCACGCGUGGAUUUUUGCAUGUACCGUAUGAAUAAGGAUCGGCUAACUCCGUGCCAGCAGCCGCGGUAAUACGGAGGAUCCGAGCGUUAUCCGGAUUUAUUGGGUUUAAAGGGAGCGUAGAUGGGUUGUUAAGUCAGUUGUGAAAGUUUGCGGCUCAACCGUAAAAUUGCAAUUGAUACUGGCAGUCUUGAGUACAGUUGAGGUAGGCGGAAUUCGUGGUGUAGCGGUGAAAUGCUUAGAUAUCACGAGGAACUCCGAUUGCGAAGGCAGCUUACUAACCUGUAACUGACAUUGAUGCUCGAAAGUGUGGGUAUCAAACAGGAUUAGAUACCCUGGUAGUCCACACGGUAAACGAUGAAUACUCGCUGUAGGCGAUAUACAGUCUGCGGCCAAGCGAAAGCAUUAAGUAUUCCACCUGGGGAGUACGCCGGCAACGGUGAAACUCAAAGGAAUUGACGGGGGCCCGCACAAGCGGAGGAACAUGUGGUUUAAUUCGAUGAUACGCGAGGAACCUUACCCGGGCUUAAAUUGCAACCGAAUAUGGCGGAAACGCUAUAGCUAGCAAUAGCGGUUGUGAAGGUGCUGCAUGGUUGUCGUCAGCUCGUGCCGUGAGGUGUCGGCUUAAGUGCCAUAACGAGCGCAACCCUUGCCGAUAGUUACUAACAGGUUAUGCUGAGGACUCUGUCGGGACUGCCAUCGUAAGAUGUGAGGAAGGUGGGGAUGACGUCAAAUCAGCACGGCCCUUACGUCCGGGGCUACACACGUGUUACAAUGGGGGGUACAGAGGGCUGCUACCACGCAAGUGGAUGCCAAUCCCAAAAACCUCUCUCAGUUCGGAUUGAAGUCUGCAACCCGACUUCAUGAAGCUGGAUUCGCUAGUAAUCGCGCAUCAGCCACGGCGCGGUGAAUACGUUCCCGGGCCUUGUACACACCGCCCGUCAAGCCAUGGGAGCCGGGGGUACCUGAAGUGCGUAACCGCAAGGAGCGCCCUAGGGUAA